rnacentral:rRNA from 1 species
ACACGACUACAUUAGAUACCCCGGUAGUCCUAGCCGUAAACGAUACUCGCUAGGUGUCGGCCACGGUGCGACCGUUGUCGGUGCCGUAGGGAAGCCGUGAAGCGAGCCACCUGGGUAGUACGGCCGCAAGGCUGAAACUUAAAGGAAUUGGCGGGGGAGCACAACAACGGGUGGAGCUUGCGGUUUAAUUGGAUUCAACGCCGGAAAUCUUACCGGGACCGACAGCAACAUGAAGGCCAGGCUGAAGACUUUGCCGGAUUAGCUG